rnacentral:rRNA from 2 species
CCCGUGGCGGCGUACUAUACAUGCAAGUCGAGCGGACAGAUGGGAGCUUGCUCCCUGAUGUUAGCGGCGGACGGGUGAGUAACACGUGGGUAACCUGCCUGUAAGACUGGGAUAACUCCGGGAAACCGGGGCUAAUACCGGAUGGUUGUUUGAACCGCAUGGUUCAGACAUAAAAGGUGGCUUCGGCUACCACUUACAGAUGGACCCGCGGCGCAUUAGCUAGUUGGUGAGGUAACGGCUCACCAAGGCGACGAUGCGUAGCCGACCUGAGAGGGUGAUCGGCCACACUGGGACUGAGACACGGCCCAGACUCCUACGGGAGGCAGCAGUAGGGAAUCUUCCGCAAUGGACGAAAGUCUGACGGAGCAACGCCGCGUGAGUGAUGAAGGUUUUCGGAUCGUAAAGCUCUGUUGUUAGGGAAGAACAAGUGCCGUUCAAAUAGGGCGGCACCUUGACGGUACCUAACCAGAAAGCCACGGCUAACUACGUGCCAGCAGCCGCGGUAAUACGUAGUGGCAAGCGUUGUCCGGAAUUAUUGGGCUAAAGGGCUCGCAGGCGGUUUCUUAAGUCUGAUGUGAAAGCCCCCGGCUCAACCGGGGAGGGUCAUUGGAAACUGGGGAACUUGAGUGCAGAAGAGGAGAGUGGAAUUCCACGUGUAGCGGUGAAAUGCGUAGAGAUGUGGAGGAACACCAGUGGCGAAGGCGACUCUCUGGUCUGUAACUGACGCUGAGGAGCGAAAGCGUGGGGAGCGAACAGGAUUAGAUACCCUGGUAGUCCACGCCGUAAACGAUGAGUGCUAAGUGUUAGGGGGUUUCCGCCCCUUAGUGCUGCAGCUAACGCAUUAAGCACUCCGCCUGGGGAGUACGGUCGCAAGACUGAAACUCAAAGGAAUUGACGGGGGCCCGCACAAGCGGUGGAGCAUGUGGUUUAAUUCGAAGCAACGCGAAGAACCUUACCAGGUCUUGACAUCCUCUGACAAUCCUAGAGAUAGGACGUCCCCUUCGGGGGCAGAGUGACAGGUGGUGCAUGGUUGUCGUCAGCUCGUGUCGUGAGAUGUUGGGUUAAGUCCCGCACGAGCGCAACCCUUUGAUU